GUACUGAGAUGCUCUCCUAACUCCGUUUUGUGUGUCUCGUGUGGAUCUUGUUCUCAGGACUCUAAUGCCCGUGGUGGGGGGUAGUAAGUGUACUUUGCUUCUUCCCUUCUUUCCCUUACCUGUGAUCUGUGUCUGUAUAGAGUCCCAUACAGUCCAUGUUCCUGUCCAUUAUCCUGUGUUAGAUUUGCUGUGUUUCCCUCCUUUUCACUUAUUAUUUUUGUUCGUGU